UACGUAGGUGGCGAGCGUUGUCCGGAUUUACUGGGUGUAAAGGGCGAGUAGGCGGGAUUGCAAGUCAGAUGUGAAAUACCGGAGCUCAACUCCGGAGCUGCAUUUGAAACUGUAGUUCUUGAGUGAUGGAGAGGCAGACGGAAUUCCCGGUGUAGCGGUAAAAUGCAUAGAGAUCGGGAGGAACACCAGUGGCGAAGGCGGUCUGCUGGACAUCAACUGACGCUGAGGAGCGAAAGUGUGGGGAGCAAAC
rnacentral:rRNA from 1 species